AACGAUAGAUGCGAGCAUCAGC
rnacentral:misc_RNA from 1 species